CCUACGGGAGGCUGCAGUGGGGAAUAUUGCACAAUGGGGGAAACCCUGAUGCAGCGACGCCGCGUGCGUGAGGACGUAUUUCGGUAUGUAAAGCUCUAUCAGCAGGGAAGUAACUGACGGUACCUGACUAAGAAUCCCCGGCUAACUACGUGCCAGCAGCCGCGGUAAUACGUAGGGGGCAAGCGUUAUCCGGAUUUACUGGGUGUAAAGGGGGCGUAGACGGAAUAGCAAGUCUGAUGUGAAAACCCGGGGCUCAACUCCGGGGGUGCAUUGGAAACUGUUGCGCUAGAGGGUCGGGAAGGCAAGCGGAAUUCGUAGUGUAGCGGUGAAAUGCGUAGAUAUUAGGAGGAACACCAGUGGCGAAGGCGGCUUGCUGGAGGAUGACUGACGUUGAGGCUCGAAAGCGUGGGGAGCGAACAGGAUUAGAUACCCGAGUAGUC
rnacentral:rRNA from 1 species